GGCCUGAUGGUCUAGUAGUAUGAUUCCUUGUUAGGGAUGUCGGCAGCUCUAGCAAUUGAACUGGUUGUCACGUGACUCUCGAGGAGGUCCCGGGUUCAAUUCCCGGUUAGGCCC